rnacentral:rRNA from 1 species
UAAGGAGGGUGCAAGCGUUAUCCGGAAUCACUGGGUUUAAAGGGUGCGUAGGCGGCUUGAUAAGUCAGAGGUGAAAGCUCACUGCUCAACAGUGGAAUUGCCUUUGAUACUGUCAGGCUAGAAUCGGCACGAGGCAGGCGGAAUGUGACAUGUAGCGGUGAAAUGCUUAGAUAUGUCAUAGAACACCAAUUGCGAAGGCAGCUUGCCAGAGUCGCAUUGACGCUGAGGCACGAAAGCGUGGGGAGCGAACAGG